GUGCGUGCGUGCGUGUGUGUGUGAGUGUGUGUCUGUGCCGCGGCCAAAGUGCAAACUAAGGAGUCAGCGUACAGUCCUCCAUUUCCUCCAUUUCCUCCAGUCCAGUAAAGUCAAGGUGAAAAAUGCCUCCCAAAAAGCAAGAAACAUACAGCAAGGACAUCAAGUCCUAUUUCAAGACAAUUGAUCCUGGCAGCAGCAGCAGCGUGACCACCAUGGAGACACAACCAGGCGGAGCUGCAGGCCCUCGGCCGG